rnacentral:rRNA from 1 species
UGCCUCAGUAACGGCGAGUGAAGCGGCAAGAGCUCAAAUUUGAAAUCUGGCCCCCCCGGGGUCCGAGUUGUAAUUUGGAGAGGAUGCUUCGGGCGCCGUUCCCGUCUAAGUGCCCUGGAACGGGCUGUCGCAGAGGGUGAGAACCCCGUCUGGGACGGGCGACGGCGCCCGUGUGAAGCUCCUUCGACGAGUCGAGUUGUUUGGGAAUGCAGCUCUAAGCGGGUGGUAAAUUUCAUCUAAAGCUAAAUACUGGCCGGAGACCGAUAGCGCACAAGUAGAGUGAUCGAAAGAUGAAAAGCACUUUGAAAAGAGAGUCAAACAGCACGUGAAAUUGUUGAAAGGGAAGCGUUGGCCCCCAGACGCGCCCGGGAGGGCUCAGCCGGCACGUGUGCCGGUGUACUCCUCUCCGGGCGGGCCAGCAUCGGUUUGGGCGGUCGCUGAAAGGCCCCGGGAAUGUAGCACCCUCCGGGGUGCCUUAUAGCCCGGGGCGGCAUGCGGCCCGCCGGGACCGAGGCCCGCGCUUCGGCGAGGAUGCUGGCGUAAUGGGGGUUAACGGCCCGUCUUGAAACACGGACCAAGGAGUCUAACAUCUAUGCGAGUGUUCGGGUGUCAAACCCGUCCGCGCAGUGAAAGCGAACGCCGGUGGGAACCCCUCGGGGCGCACCAUCGACCGAUCCUGAUGUCCUCGGAUGGAUUUGAGUAAGAGCAUAGCUGUUGGGACCCGAAAGAUGGUGAACUAUGCCUGAAUAGGGCGAAGCCAGAGGAAACUCUGGUGGAGGCUCGCAGCGGUUCUGACGUGCAAAUCGAUCGUCAAAUUUGGGUAUAGGGGCGAAAGACUAAUCGAACCAUCUG